UGCCUACGGGAGGCUGCAGUGGGGAAUCUUGCGCAAUGGGCGAAAGCCUGACGCAGCCAUGCCGCGUGAAUGAUGAAGGUCUUAGGAUUGUAAAAUUCUUUCACCGGGGACGAUAAUGACGGUACCCGGAGAAGAAGCCCCGGCUAACUUCGUGCCAGCAGCCGCGGUAAUACGAAGGGGGCUAGCGUUGCUCGGAAUUACUGGGCGUAAAGGGAGCGUAGGCGGACAUUUAAGUCAGGGGUGACAUCCCGGGGCUCAACCUCGGAAUUGCCUUUGAUACUGGGUGUCUUGAGUAUGAGAGAGGUGUGUGGAACUCCGAGUGUAGAGGUGAAAUUCGUAGAUAUUCGGAAGAACACCAGUGGCGAAGGCGACACACUGGCUCAUUACUGACGCUGAGGCUCGAAAGCGUGGGGAGCAAACAGGAUUAGAUACCCUUGUAGUCC
rnacentral:rRNA from 1 species